UAUGAAAGCAAAAAAUUAUGGCGGUAUUUUAAGCUUUUCAGAGGAAUUUGCUCUUUAAUGGAUAAAACACCAAAAUCUUACUUAGAUUUGUGAUUUCAAUUUGUAUACCACUAUUAAAACAAUUUAUAACUUUAAUUGUUUAAAUUUACAAAACUAAAAUAUAUUAAGUCAAGGUGCAGUAAAAAUUUAAGGAUGAAGUGAAUUACAUUACUUUUUAGUGAGAUAAGUUUAUAACAAUAUUUAGGAUUUGAAAGUAAAAUUAAAAU
rnacentral:rRNA from 1 species